UACAGAGGUCCCAAGCGUUGUUCGGAUUCACUGGGCGUAAAGGGUGCGUAGGUGGCAUGUUAAGUUUGAUGUGAAAGCUCAGGGCUUAACCCUGAAAUGGCAUUGAAUACUAGCGUGCUGGAGGUUUGGAGGGGGGACUGGAAUUCUUGGUGUAGCAGUGAAAUGCGUAGAUAUCAAGAGGAACACCAGUGGCGAAGGCGAGUCCCUGGACAACACCUGACACUGAGGCACGAAAGCUAGGGGAGCAAACAGG
rnacentral:rRNA from 1 species